GCAGCAGUAGGGAAUCUCCGCAAUGGACGAAAGUCUGACGGAGCAACGCCGCGUGAGUGAUGAAGGUUUUCGGAUCGUAAAGCUCUGUUGUUAGGGAAGAACAAGUGCCGUUCAAAUAGGGCGGCACCUUGACGGUACCUAACCAGAAAGCCACGGCUAACUACGUGCCAGCAGCCGCGGUAAUACGUAGGUGGCAAGCGUUGUCCGGAAUUAUUGGGCGUAAAGGGCUCGCAGGCGGUUUCUUAAGUCUGAUGUGAAAGCCCCCGGCUCAACCGGGGAGGGUCAUUGGAAACUGGGGAACUUGAGUGCAGAAGAGGAGAGUGGAAUUCCACGUGUAGCGGUGAAAUGCGUAGAGAUGUGGAGGAACACCAGUGGCGAAGGCGACUCUCUGGUCUGUAACUGACGCUGAGGAGCGAAAGCGUGGGGAGCGAACAGGAUUAGAUACCCUGGUAGUCCACGCCGUAAACGAUGAGUGCUAAGUGUUAGGGGGUUUCCGCCCCUUAGUGCUGCAGCUAACGCAUUAAGCACUCCGCCUGGGGAGUACGGUCGCAAGACUGAAACUCAAAGGAAUUGACGGGGGCCCGCACAAGCGGUGGAGCAUGUGGUUUAAUUCGAAGCAACGCGAAGAACCUUACCAGGUCUUGACAUCCUCUGACAAUCCUAGAGAUAGGACGUCCCCUUCGGGGGCAGAGUGACAGGUGGUGCAUGGUGUCGUCAGCUCGGUC
rnacentral:rRNA from 2 species